GACGGAGGGGGCUAGCGUUGUUCGGAAUUACUGGGCGUAAAGAGCGCGUAGGCGGUUUGGUAAGUUGGAAGUGAAAGCCCGGGGCUUAACCUCGGAAUUGCUUUCAAAACUGCUAAUCUAGAGUGUAGUAGGGGAUGAUGGAAUUCCUAGUGUAGAGGUGAAAUUCUUAGAUAUUAGGAGGAACACCGGUGGCGAAGGCGGUCAUCUGGGCUACAACUGACGCUGAUGCGCGAAAGCGUGGGGAGCAAACAGG
rnacentral:rRNA from 1 species